rnacentral:rRNA from 1 species
GACGAACGCUGGCGGCGUGCUUAACACAUGCAAGUCGAACGGUGAAGCGCCUUACUUUUUGGUGGGUGUGGAUGAGUGGCGAACGGGUGAGUAACACGUGAGUAACCUGCCCCCUUCUUCUGGAUAACCGCAUGAAAGUGUGGCUAAUACGGGAUAUUCUGGGUCUGUCGCAUGAUGGGUCUGGGAAAGAUAUUGUUUCGGUGGGGGAUGGGCUCGCGGCCUAUCAGCUUGUUGGUGGGGUGAUGGCCUACCAAGGCGGUGACGGGUAGCCGGCCUGAGAGGGUGGACGGUCACACUGGGAAUGAGAGACGGCCCAGACUCCGACGGGAGGCAGCAGUGGGGAAUAUUGCACAAUGGGCGCAAGCCUGAUGCAGCGACGCCGCGUGAGGGAUGGAGGCCGUCGGGUUGUGAACCUCUUUCGCCAGUGAAGCAGGCCUGCCUCGUUUGUGGGUGGGUUGACGGUAGCUGGAUAAGAAGCGCCGGCUAACUACGUG